CGGGGGGAGCAAGCGUUGUUCGGAUUUACUGGGCGUAAAGGGCGCGUGGGCGGCCACCGCAAGUCAGUUGUGAAAUCUCCGAGCUUAACUCGGAAAGGUCAACUGAUACUGCGGGGCUAGAGUGCGGAAGGGGCAACUGGAAUUCUUGGUGUAGCGGUGAAAUGCGUAGAUAUCGAGAGGAACACCUGCGGCGAAGGCGGGUUGCUGGGCCGACACUGACGCUGAGGCGCGAAAGCUAGGGGAGCGAACGGGAUUAGAUACCCCGGUAGUCCUAGCCUUAAACGAUGAAUGCUUGGUGUCUGGGGUUAUAUAGUCCCCGGGUGCCGUCGCUAACGCUUUAAGCAUUCCGCCUGGGGAGUACGGUCGCAAGACUG
rnacentral:rRNA from 1 species